AAUAGAUACCCAGGUAGUCCACGCCGUAAACGAUGAGUGCUAAGUGUUAGAGGGUUUCCGCCCUUUAGUGCUGAAGUUAACGCAUUAAGCACUCCGCCUGGGGAGUACGGCCGCAAGGCUGAAACUCAAAGGAAUUGACGGGGGCCCGCACAAGCGGUGGAGCAUGUGGUUUAAUUCGAAGCAACGCGAAGAACCUUACCAGGUCUUGACAUCCUCUGACAACCCUAGAGAUAGGGCUUCUCCUUCGGGAGCAGAGUGACAGGUGGUGCAUGGUUGUCGUCAGCUCGUGUCGUGAGAUGUUGGGUUAAGUCCCGCAACGAGCGCAACCCUUGAUCUUAGUUGCCAUCAUUAAGUUGGGCACUCUAAGGUGACUGCCGGUGACAAACCGGAGGAAGGUGGGGAUGACGUCAAAUCAUCAUGCCCCUUAUGACCUGGGCUACACACGCUACAAUGGCCAGGACAGCGCGUCGCGAGCCGGUAACGGUCAGCUAAUCGCCCAAACCUGGUCCCAGUG
rnacentral:rRNA from 1 species